CCUGCUCCUAGAAGCUUCGCAGGUGUGGCUGCUGUGUCACAUGUGCAUCGAUAGAUGACAGAGAGGAGAGUCUAUGUCUACACUCAAUAUUCUGACCUAUGAGCAUCUGAAUGAUAAAUAGCCUAACACU